rnacentral:rRNA from 1 species
UAGGGAAUCUUCGGCAAUGGCGGCAACCCUGACCGAGCAACGCCGCGUGAGUGAAGAAGGUUUUCGGAUCUUAAAGCUCUGUUGUAAGAGAAGAACGUGUGUGAGAGUGGAAAGUUCACACAGUGACGGUAACUUACCAGAAAGGGACGGCUAACUACGUGCCAGCAGCCGCGGUAAUACGUAGGUCCCGAUCGUUGUCCGGAUUUAUUGGUCGUAAAGCGAGCGCAGGCGGUUUAAUAAGUCUGAAGUUAAAGGCAGUGGCUUAACCAUUGUUCGGCUUUGAAAAUGUUAUACUUGAGUGCAGAAGGGGAGAGUGGAAUUCCAUGUGUAGCGGUGAAAUGGGUAGAUAUAUGGGAGAAUCACGGUGGCGGAAGCGGCUCUCCGGUCUGUAACUGACGCUGAGGAUCGAAAGCGUGGGGAGCAAACAGG